CCUCCCGCCGGCGUUAUCGCAGCAUCACACCUCCCUGUUUCUGCUCCUGAAGCUGCUGAUGAAUGAAAAAAGGAGGCGGAAGAAGAAAUGGCGGAGAGAGAGAAGCGAAAAAGCCCGACUCCUGCUCAUUCUUCCCGGGCUACACAGCCCCGAGCCGCCGGCGCGAGCUUCAGGUUGACCCAUGAUAUAAGCUUAGAUGAGUUUGAGGAUGAGGAUUUGUCCGAAAUCACAGAGAUCACAGAUGAGCGAGGCCUCAGCCUUAACUGCAAUGGCUUCGACAUCAAGGGUCAUGUGGUGCGGCCAUCCAGUAGUGUCGCUCGGAGGGCGGAGCCAGGCGCAGCGGGGCAUGUCUGCUCAGAGACGCUUCCCUUAGAGAUGAUCACUGGAGCUGAGGGAACACACACAAGUGACUCGAGCACACGCUCCAAGGAUACAUACACCAUGGACACGUACAGACCCAAACGGCCAACAACGCUCAACCUGUUCCCACAGGUGCCUCGCACACAGGACACGCUGAACAACAACUCGUUUGGAAAGAAGUACAGCUGGCAGGAGAAAGUCUCACACUCGACUUCACCACAGAAAGCAGGUGACCUGGCACCUCGUGAGCACAUCUGUUUAAGUGACGAGGACAAAAUCAAAACCGAAACCAAAGACUGCGGCACCUCGACAGACACACCCACCAAACGCCCAGCCCCUCCCAGACAGGCUGCUCAGUCUGUAGCCCCGCCCACUAAAAGUAGUGCAUGCGAGCAGUCCGGGCAUCGUGAGCGUAUUCGAUAUCACGCAGAUCUGUGCGUAGAGGCAACCGAGGAGAUUUACCUGACUCCUGACAGACCAGGCCGCAUGUCGGUCAUCACAGACGAUGAGGCCCCGCCCCCUUAUCACCCUCCACUUCAGGAAAAGGCGAAUGCACCUAUCAUGGAGGACGAAGAGGAGGAGCCUCCGCCGUCUUAUGCGUCCUGUGUCGCGGCUUCAGCAUCACUGGACCUCAGGAGUAGAAGGAUAAACAGACGAGGAAGUUUGGAUCUCAGGAGGAGAGGACGGAAGGAAGAAGAAACCGAGGAGGAAGACGAAGAGGAAACUAGGAUUUCUUCGAACGGACUCUCGUACGAUUCAGUGAAAUACACACUGGUGGUGGAUGAGGACGCGCAGCUGGAGCUCGUGAGCUUGAAAGAGUGCUUUCACAGCUACAGCGAUGACAGCGACUCGGCCACGGUCUACGAUAAUUGCGUCUCAUCACCAUAUGGUGAGGAAUUUGAGGACGAGGAAGUGGAUAUACAUGAAGUGCGUGGUGCCAGAGGGGUGAGAAUGGGCGGAGCCAGGCGAGAAGCCACUGCUUGCUUAUCAGAAGACUCCACGCCCGAGGCAGAUAUUCCGUUUUCUAGAAAGUUCCUCAACGUCUUUAUGAAUGGCCGAUCACGUUCUUCCAGUUCAGAGUCCUUUGGUUUGUUUUCCUGUGUUGUUAACGGAGAAGAGAGAGAUCAGAGUCACCGAGCUGUGUACAGGUUUAUCCCUCGGCACGAGGACGAGUUGGAGCUGGAGGUGGACGAUCCUUUACUAGUGGAGGUCCAGGCAGAGGAUUUCUGGUACGAAGGCUACAACAUGCGCACCGGAGUGCGGGGGAUCUUUCCCGCCUACUACGCCAUCGAAGUGACCAAGGAGACCGAGCCGAUUAAAAAAGCAGUGAGAAGUGCAGACUGGAUAGAGAGGUACAGCCUGAAAUUCCUCGGCUCUGUCCAGGUUCCCUACCACAAAGGAAACGAGGUGCUCUGUGCCGCCAUGCAGAAGGUCGCCAACAACAGGAGGAUGACUCUGCAUUAUAAUCCUCCUUCAUCCUGCAUACUGGAAAUCAACAUGAAAGGAGUGAAACUGGACGUGCAGGACGAUUACGGAGCAUACGACAGAACUAGUCAAUGCAGACACUUCUUCCAGCUGAAGAACAUCUCGUUCUGUGGCUACCAUCCGAAAAACAACAAAUACUUUGGCUUCAUCACGAAACAUCCUGCAGACCAGAGAUUCGCCUGCCACGUGUUCGUGUCUGAAAACUCCACCAAGGCCUUGGCUGAGGCUGUGGGGAAAGCAUUCCAGCUGUAUUAUAAAGAGUUCGUGGAGUUUUCCUGUCCAACAGAAGACAUCUAUCUGGAAUAAAUAAACACAGCACUGCUAGCAGAUCCGUGUACAGAUCACACAGGAGGACUGUUUUGCAUGACGGGUGAAGCAGUAACGUAACCGAAACACUAACACAGAGGACGGCGUUACAUGCUUAUGGAUUUGAUAUAACAAGAGAAAAGAAAAGAGCUGGAUUGGGUUUGGAUUGACUGAAGAACACUCAUCAUCACAUCACACUCACAUGGAGUAAAACAUAUUAUUUUAUACCUCACUGCUAUUAAUGGCGCCACAGAAAACUCUGAGAUCAUCGGUUUCACAUAAUCGAAAUGUCUGCAUUUACACAGGAAACAGGAAACACUGGUGUACGCUGGUCACUCUGUUCACUCUACACUUUUCUGUCUUUCAGAAUAUUGACGUCUGAUUGGCUCUUCAGACGAGACAGGAAAACCUUUUACUAUAUAUAGAAAGCAGUUCACCAGAAAAACCACACAGAAUGUCACAGGAGAAACAGCAGGCUGAUUAAGGACGUCUGAACAUCGUCGAGAGAAGACUUUUCAGAAACGACGGAGCAACAGAUGAAACCCAAAAGGAAUCCGACUGGACCGUCUGACUGCACUAAUCAACAUGUAGUCUGAAAUACACCACUAACCAUGACGUACGAACACGUUCCCGCUUCCUCCUCUGCAGUAUUUUAGAGCUCCAGACACUAAAGCUUACUCUGAUUUAACCGAAUAUUAUUUAUUAACAAUGGCUGGAAGUUAUACAGUCAUAUCUAAUCUACAGUGCAGCAGUUGGUGCUGACAGACUGGACAUCGCACGGUACCGAAGGAUUUCCUCAGCCGCUGCGUUGCUGAUUAUUAACGAUCUCAGUUCCAAGUAACAGACUCUGAUGCUUUUCUGCACUGCCCUGUUCAAUUUCAUUUCAAGAUAUUUCAUUAUGAAUUUCUUUAUCCUUCCGCUGAGGUCACUUUACUGUAGCUAACACGUACCAGAAGUACCAGCAGGAUGUAAACCACAUCGUCUGCACCAUCACACGCGCCUCACGUCGUUCAGUAGCGCAGACACACUUCCCGGUUGUUGUCUGAUGCUGUAGGACACCGUUUUAUUUGUUAAAAAAAAAAAAAGGAUAAAUGUCGGGGUCAGAGAACUCAGAAACAGGAGUAGAGGACAAGAUGAAGAUGGAGUGAUUUCAGAUUUCCAGUGUGGAACUGUAAAACGGGAAGAUCUGAGACUUCCUGUUUGAUGUAACAUGGCAUGGGAAUUCGAACAUGAACAGAUCCAGACGCUAGCCUAGUGAUCUAGCUAGUUAGGCAGGGGAAGUCCUGUUAGUGCAGGACGAGGAGAAGGAGGGAGAGGAGAUGUAACAGAUGAGGACAAAUGACAUCCUAAUGAGCUGAAUGUCUGAGUGUUUGAGGAGUGAGUUAUAAAGCUUACACAAAGUUAAACUGCUGUCUAUUUCUGGCUGCGCUUUAAUAUGAAUAUUAGAGCAAGAGUUUGCAGAGAUGGUGAGUUAUGAUUGAUCUUUAAAUCAAAGCGGAUUAUUCUUCCUGUUUCUACAGGGAUUUAACUCUGAUCUGGGAAGCACAUUUCACAAUAAGAGUCAUCGGUUUAUUUCCUAUAGUGCCUUUUUUCAUGGUUGAUUUCCUCAUCAGCGUUCUGCCUGUGAGUCCGAAUGAGUUUAGCGAUGCAGCGUCAGACGGGAGUGUUUGCGGACAGGAGUAUGUCCUGUCGCUGAUUUUACAAGGGCUAAGAGAUUACACGUAUCAGACGGACACGAUGACGCUAAGAGUCAUCACACGUUCUAUCAACUGAAGAUUUCUAAAAGAGUUUUAUCUGCGUUAAAAGUUUGAAAGUUUUCAGUUCAGAAAGUUUUUGUUGUUGUUGUUUUAGUCUGAACCCUGAAAUUCAUGAAAUUCCUCCGGACCUGUGGGAACUCCUGAGCUCAUUGUAAUAAAUCAUUUUGUAAAGUGUGAAUAUG